UAUUUUUCAACACGGGAAACUGAAAUUGGGUAUAUCCCUGAGGAAGAAGCUGUCCCCUAGCGAAGAAUAAAACUGUGGACUGACCCCCACCCAUUUGCGAAGAAAGUACUGGGUCUUCAGCUUUCAUUGUCCAGUCGGUGGUCUUUGUGGACACCAGGGGCCCCUCCUGCUGAAGACUGUCUGGACUUCCCGAUUUUCACUCCUGUAUAAACCCCCUCCCCCAUUAGUACCUUUGUCUCCUUGGCGAAAAAAAAAAGUUUUUCACUUAAGUAAAAUAAAAGCUACCCAGUAUUUGUUUCUGGAGUGAAAUUAUAAACUUCAUUGUACAUUCUUCCUGGUUUUGAUGCUUAUCUUGAAGAGUUCAGUGAAAAUAAAUUGUUUUUAUGAAAGCA